GCGUUAUAAUGUAAAUUCCUUUUCUCCUUUCCAGCUUCCUAUGCAGGUGAGAAAAUUUUUGUUGAAUCUGGAACUGCUAACUCCUUGCUGAGUCAGAAAUGCAUGAUGUUCCAGCAUCCAAGUGAAUUCUAGUGGGCCAGAGGAAGAGAAGAGGGGAGGAAUCAAGACAUCUUUAUCUUGACACUACCUUAUCAAAUGCAUUCAGAGACCUCUGGCCCCUCACAGAUCCUGCCUGCCCAGCUGAGAGCCCUUCGGGAUUCCUCUGGGGAGUGGUCACCAGCAUAGAGUCAUUUCUCCAGGCUCUCCCUGGAAAAGCCAAUCUCCAUUCUUCUAGGAUCGAUGCUGUGCAGACUGCAUAAAUCAGUUACUUAGCAAUGUGCUAAAUUUCCAAAUACUUGGAGAUUUUCUGGAUAUUGUAUUGGCGUUGGUUUCUAAUUUAAUUCCAUGGCCAUCAGAGAGCAUAUUCUCAGAAGCUUACUUAUCUCUCUUGGUGAGUAUUUCAUGUGCCACUAAAAGAAUGUCUGUUUU